UCAAUGGACGAGAGUCUGAACCAGCCAAGUCGCGUGAAGGAAGAAGGAUCUAUGGUUCGUAAACUUCUUUUAUUGGGGAAUAAAAAAGGCACGUGUGCCUUAUUGUAUGUACCCAAAUGAAUAAGCAUCGGCUAACUCCGUGCCAGCAGCCGCGGUAAUACGGAGGAUGCGAGCGUUAUCCGGAUUUAUGGGUUUAAAGGGUGCGUAGGUGGAGAUUUAAGUCAGCGGUGAAAGUUUGUGGCUCAACCAUAAAAUUGCCGUUGAAACUGGAUUUCUUGAGUAUGUUUGAGGUAGGCGGAAUGCGUGGUGUAGCGGUGAAAUGCAUAGAUAUCACGCAGAACUCCGAUUGCGAAGGCAGCUUACUAAACCAUAACUGACACUGAAGCACGAAAGCGUGGGUAUCAAACAGGAUUAGAUACCCUGGUAGUCCACGCAGUAAACGAUGAUAACUAGGAGUUUGCGAUACACAGUAAGCUCUACAGCGAAAGCGUUAAGUUAUCCACCUGGGGAGUACGCCGGCAACGGUGAAACUCAAAGGAAUUGACGGGGGCCCGGCACAAGCGGAGGAACAUGUGGUUUAAUUCGAUGAUACGCGAGGAACCUUACCCGGGCUCGAACGGCUUAUGAAUAUAUUGGAAACAGUAUAGCUAGCAAUAGCAUAAGUCGAGGUGCUGCAUGGUUGUCGUCAGCUCGUGCCGUGAGGUGUCGGCUUAAGUGCCAUAACGAGCGCAACCCUUGUUGUCUGUUGCCAUCGGGUCAAGCCGGGGACUCAGAUGAGACUGCCUGCGUAAGCAGUGAGGAAGGGGGGGAUGACGUCAAAUCAGCACGGCCCUUACGUCCGGGGCGACACACGUGUUACAAUGGGUAGUACAGCGGGUAGCCACUUGGCAACAAGGCGCAAAUCUCGAAAGCUACUCUCAGUUCGGAUUGGAGUCUGCAACUCGACUCCAUGAAGUUGGAUUCGCUAGUAAUCGCGCAUCAGCCACGGCGCGGUGAAUACGUUCCCGGGCCUUGUACACACCGCCCGUCAAGCCAUGGAAA
rnacentral:rRNA from 1 species